CCUAACUCUCAUCCCCUUCUUCUAGGCCAUUUCUUCGCCCAUCUCUCUAUGUGAUCUUCAACUCUCAUCUAGCCCUUGCUCCAAUCCAGGGCAUGUCAUAUUAUUUCUCAUGCAGAAUUUCCUUUCCUUGCAUUUGUUGGGAAUUUAUAAAUUUGGUUUUCUCCUGAAGGUAUAUGAAGGUGGAAAUUUCUUCAGGAUUGAAUAUUAGACAAGUGGUUACAUUAGCAAUUUGAGGAAGCAACAAAUUUUUAUAUAUUUUUUAAUUUGACAAUAUUCUUGUAUUUCCAUUAGACUUUA